rnacentral:rRNA from 1 species
GAUGAACGCUGGCGGCGUGCCUAAUACAUGCAAGUCGAGCGAAUGGAUUAAGAGCUUGCUCUUAUGAAGUUAGCGGCGGACGGGUGAGUAACACGUGGGUAACCUGCCCAUAAGACUGGGAUAACUCCGGGAAACCGGGGCUAAUACCGGAUAACAUUUUGAACCGCAUGGUUCGAAAUUGAAAGGCGGCUUCGGCUGUCACUUAUGCAUGGACCCACGUCGCAUUAGCUAGUUGGUGAGGUAACGGCUCACCAAGGCAACGAUGCGUAGCCGACCUGAGAGGGUGAUCGGCCACACUGGGACUGAGACACGGCCCAGACUCCUACGGGAGGCAGCAGUAGGGAAUCUUCCGCAAUGGACGAAAGUCUGACGGAGCAACGCCGCGUGAGUGAUGAAGGCUUUCGGGUCGUAAAACUCUGUUGUUAGGGAAGAACAAGUGCUAGUUGAAUAAGCUGACACCUUGACGGUACCUAACCAGAAAGCCACGGCUAACUACGUGCCAGCAGCCGCAGUAA